AGCAAAUACAAGCACUACGCAUACAUCCCAAGUGUCUCGAUUCCAGAAGGACUGUCCCAGUUGUGUGGCCCUGUAUCCUUGUUUCAGCUUAUUUUUCAAUUUUCCUUGAUAUGACCAGUCAGCAUAGGGUGCUGUCAGGCAAUGACCCUUGCACUCCGACAGUGCUCUCUGCAUGGGAUGGCCUGGGUGGGGCCAGUCAGGUUGGUAUGGACCAACUAAAGGCUGACACCCCCCUACCCCUCUUGACUAUGAUUAAACAUUGUCUAGAGCCAUUUUUUACACAUUGAUUAGAUUUAUUUCCUAGUUUAAUGAAGAUGUACCAAUGGUACUCUUUUCUGACAGUGCUCAAUUUAUGAAUAAGUGCUAAUUCUUCUUGGGCAUAUUCACAAAAGUGUGACUUGUUA